rnacentral:rRNA from 1 species
CCGGUGCUGGAAGGUUAAGGGGAUCUGUUAGAGCAAUCGAAGCAGUGAACUUAAGCCCCAGUAAACGGCGGCCGUAACUAUAACGGUCCUAAGGUAGCGAAAUUCCUUGUCGGGUAAGUUCCGACCCGCACGAAAGGCGUAACGAUUUGGGCACUGUCUCAACAACAGACUCGGUGAAAUUGUAAUUCCGGUGAAGAUGCCGGAUACCUGCGACAGGACGGAAAGACCCCAUGGAGCUUUACUGUAGCUUGACAUUGGGUCUUGGUACUACAUGUACAGGAUAGGUGGGAGGCUUUGAAACCAGGACGCCAGUUUUGGCGGAGCCAUCCUUGGGAUACCACCCUUGUAGUACUGGGACUCUAACCAUAGGCCAUGAAUCUGGUCUUGGGACACUGUCAGGUGGGCAGUUUGACUGGGGCGGUCGCCUCCCAAAAGGUAACGGAGGCGCUCAAAGGUUCUCUCAGUACGGUCGGAAAUCGUACGUAGAGUGUAAAGGCAAAAGAGAGCUUGAUUGCAAGACAUACAGGUCGAGCAAGGAUGAAAAUCGGACUUAGUGAUCCGGUGGUUCUGCGUGGAAGGGCCAUCGCUCAACGGAUAAAAGCUACCCUGGGGAUAACAGGCUUAUCUCCCCCAAGAGUCCACAUCGACGGGGAGGUUUGGCACCUCGAUGUCGGCUCAUCACAUCCUGGGGCUGUAGUAGGUCCCAAGGGUUGGGCUGUUCGCCCAUUAAAGUGGUACGCGAGCUGGGUUCAGAACGUCGUGAGACAGUUCGGUCCCUAUCCGUCGCAGGCGUAGGAAAUUUGAGAAGACCUGUCCUUAGUACGAGAGGACCGGGAUGGACG